rnacentral:tRNA from 1 species
AAGAGUAUAAUUUAGCGGAAAAAUAAGAAGCUUCAAACUUCCAAUCUUCAGUUCAAAUCUGAAUGCUCUUA